rnacentral:rRNA from 1 species
GAUGAACGCUGGCGGCGUGCCUAAUACAUGCAAGUCGAGCGAAUGGAUUAAGAGCUUGCUCUUAUGAAGUUAGCGGCGGACGGGUGAGUAACACGUGGGUAACCUGCCCAUAAGACUGGGAUAACUACGGGAAACCGGGGCUAAUACCGGAUAACACUUUGAACCGCACGGUUCGAAAUUGAAAGGCGGCUGGGGCUGUCACUUAUGGAUGAACCCGCGUCGCAUUAGCUAGUUGGUGAGGUAACGGCUCACCAAGGCAACGAUGCGUAGCCGACCUGAGAGGGUGAUCGGCCACACUGGGACUGAGACACGGCCCAGACUCCUACGGGAGGCAGCAGUAGGGAAUCUUCCGCAAUGGACGAAAGUCUGACGGAGCAACGCCGCGUGAGUGAUGAAGGCUUUCGGGUCGUAAAACUCUGUUGUUAAGGAAGAACAAGUGCUAGUUGAAUAAGCUGGCACCUUGACGGUACCUAACCAGAAAGCCACGGCUAACUACGUGCCAGCCGCCGCUGUAA